rnacentral:rRNA from 1 species
GACGAACGCUGGCGGCGUGCCUAAUACAUGCAAGUCGAACGCACUCUCGUUUAGAUUGAAGGAGCUUGCUCCUGAUUGAUAAACAUUUGAGUGAGUGGCGGACGGGUGAGUAACACGUGGGUAACCUGCCCUAAAGUGGGGGAUAACAUUUGGAAACAGAUGCUAAUACCGCAUAAAACCUAACACCGCAUGGUGUAGGGUUGAAAGAUGGUUUCGGCUAUCACUUUAGGAUGGACCCGCGGUGCAUUAGUUAGUUGGUGAGGUAAAGGCUCACCAAGACCGUGAUGCAUAGCCGACCUGAGAGGGUAAUCGGCCACACUGGGACUGAGACACGGCCCAGACUCCUACGGGAGGCAGCAGUAGGGAAUCUUCCACAAUGGACGAAAGUACUGAUGGAGCAACGCCGCGUGAGUGAAGAAGGUUUUCGGAUCGUAAAACUCUAGUUGUUGGAGAAGAAUGUAUCUGAUAGUAACUGAUCAGGUAGUGACGGUAUCCAACCAGAAAGCC